AUUGAACGCUGGCGGCAGGCCUAACACAUGCAAGUCGAACGGUAACAGGAAGCAGCUUGCUGCUUCGCUGACGAGUGGCGGACGGGUAAGUAAUGUCUGAGAAACUGCCUGAUGGAGGGGGAUAACUACUGGAAACGGUAGCUAAUACCGCAUAACGUCGCAAGACCAAAGAGGGGGACCUUCGGGCCUCUUGCCCUCGGAUGUGCCCAGAUGGGAUUAGCGAGUAGGUGGGGUAACGGCUCACCUAGGCGACGAGCCCUAGCUGGUCUGAGAGGAUGACCAGCCACACUGGAACUGAGACACGGUCCAGACUGCUACGGGAGGCAGCAGUGGGGAAUAUUGCACAAUGGGCGCAAGCCUGAUGCAGCCAUGCCGCGUGUAUGAAGAAGGCCUUCGGGUUGUAAAGUACUUUCAGCGGGGAGGAAGGCGAUAAGGUUAAUAACCUUGUCGAUUGACGUUACCCGCAGAAGAAGCACCGGCUAACUCCGUGCCAGCAGCCGCGGUAA
rnacentral:rRNA from 1 species